rnacentral:rRNA from 1 species
CCUCCUAAAAGGGACAGUUCAAACUUCAACUGAAGAGUUUGAUCCUGGCUCAGAUUGAACGCUGGCGGUAUGCUUAACACAUGCAAGUCGAACGGAAACGAUGGGAGCUUGCUCCCAGGCGUCGAGUGGCGGACGGGUGCGUAACGCGUAGGAAUCUACCCAGUAGUUGGGGACAACUCGGAGAAAUCCGAGCUAAUACCGAAUACGGUCUACGGACUAAAGGGGGCCUCUUCUUGAAAGCUCUCGCUAUUGGAUGAGCCUGCGUCAGAUUAGCUUGUUGGUGGGGUAAUGGCCUACCAAGGCGACGAUCUGUAGCUGGUCUGAGAGGAUGAUCAGCCACACUGGGACUGAGACACGGCCCAGACUCCUACGGGAGGCAGCAGUGGGGAAUAUUGGACAAUGGGCGCAAGCCUGAUCCAGCAAUGCCGCGUGUGUGAA